AAUCGUGUUCUUCAGUGAGAAAUUUGAGAGAAAAGCGUGACGGAGAGACUAAUUAGCUUCAGUUCAUCUUGCCAACAAGCCCAAAGUAAUCAAUUCCUUCUUAUUCUCCUCUUCUAAACAUAAAACAAAAAAUCAACCACUUCAGCUAACAAAAAGACUGUUUUAGUACUUACGCUUGACGAAAUAGGUAUCGGAAAAGAGAAUCGUACUUACACUUGAAGAAAUCGUUAUCGGAGAAGACGACUUCAGCUAUCAGUUCUUCGAUGACUUCAACUCUUCAACUCUUCAGCUCAGUUCUUCGACGACUUCAACUCUUCAGCGU
rnacentral:lncRNA from 1 species